UACAUGGGGUGCAAACGUUGCUCGGAAUUAUUGGGCGUAAAGCGCACGUAGGCGGUUUGUUAAGUCGGACGUGAAAUCCCUCGGCUCAACCGAGGAACUGCGUCCGAUACUGGUGGGCUUGAAUCCGGGAGAGGGAUGUGGAAUUCCAGGUGUAGCGGUGAAAUGCGUAGAUAUCUGGAGGAACACCGGUGGCGAAGGCGGCAUCCUGGACCGGUAUUGACGCUGAGGCGCGAAAGCUAGGGUAGCAAACGGG
rnacentral:rRNA from 1 species